rnacentral:rRNA from 1 species
CAGAAAUGCGUAGCUGAUGGGAAACAGGUUAAUAUUCCUGUACUUCUUAUAACUGCGAUGGAGAGACGGAGAAGGCUAUGCCUACCGGGCGUUGGUUGUCCCGGGGAAAGGCUGUAGGCUGAGGUGUUAGGCAAAUCCGGCACCUUAAGGCUGAGAGUCGAGACCAC